GACGAACGCUGGCGGCGUGCUUAACACAUGCAAGUCGAACGGAAAGGCCCUGCUUUUGUGGGGUGCUCGAGUGGCGAACGGGUGAGUAACACGUGAGUAACCUGCCCUUGACUUUGGGAUAACUUCAGGAAACUGGGGCUAAUACCGGAUAGGAGCUCCUGCUGCAUGGUGGGGGUUGGAAAGUUUCGGCGGUUGGGGAUGGACUCGCGGCUUAUCAGCUUGUUGGUGGGGUAGUGGCUUACCAAGGCUUUGACGGGUAGCCGGCCUGAGAGGGUGACCGGCCACAUUGGGACUGAGAUACGGCCCAGACUACUACGGGCGGCAGCAGUGGGGAAUAUUGCACAAUGGGCGGAAGCCUGAUGCAGCAAAGCCGCGUGCGGGAUGACGUCCUUCGGGUUGUAAACCGCUUUCGCCUGUGACGCAGCGUGAGUGACGGUAAUGGGUAAAGAAGCACCGGCUAACUACGUG
rnacentral:rRNA from 1 species